AUUGAACGCUGGCGGCAGGCCUAACACAUGCAAGUCGAACGAGUGGCGGACGGGUGAGUAAUGUCUGGGAAACUGCCUGAUGGAGGGGGAUAACUACUGGAAACGGUAGCUAAUCCCGCAUACCAUCGGAUGUGCCCAGAUGGGAUUAGCUAGUAGGUGGGGUAAAGGCUCACCUAGGCGACGAUCCCUAGCUGGUCUGAGUGGAUGACCAGCAAAACUGGAACAAGGACACGGUCCAGACUCAUAAGGGAGGCAACAGUCGGGAAUAUUGCAAUAUGCGCGAAAGUCUGAUGCAGACAUGCCGCGUGUAUGAAGAAGGCCUUCGGGUUGUAAAGGACUUUCAGCGGGGAGGCGUUACCCGCAGAAGAAUCACCGGCUAACUCCGUGCCAUCAGCCGCGGUUAUUC
rnacentral:rRNA from 1 species